rnacentral:snRNA from 17 species
AUACUUACCUAGCGAGAGCGAGUCGAGCUCAGAAAGUCGACUUCGCUACAAAUGACACACUGCCCCAUUGCACACUCCGGGGCAGGAGUCUUUGUUGGAACUCCUUUGGGGGGUCUUCUCGUUUAAUUUUUGGCCUUUUGUUGCAGUUGUUGCUUUACUGU